GGGUGCGAUCAUACCAGCGUUAAUGCACCGGAUCCCAUCAGGACUCCGCAGUUAAGCGCGCUUGGGCUAGAGUAGUACUGGGAUGGGUGACCUCCUGGGAAGUCCUAGUGUUGCACCCUC
rnacentral:rRNA from 1 species